rnacentral:rRNA from 1 species
UCUGGUGGCUAUAGCGGGAAGGUCACACCUGUUCCCAUUCCGAACACAGUAGUUAAGCUUCCCUGCGCUGAAAAUACUUGGCGGGCGACCGCCCGGGAACCUAUGUCGCUGCCAGAU